rnacentral:rRNA from 1 species
GAUGAACGCUGGCGGUGUGCCUAAUACAUGCAAGUCAAGCGAACAGACGAGGAGCUUACUCCUCUGACGUUAGCGGCUGACGGGUGAGUAACACGUGGAUAACCUACCUAUAAGACUGGGGUAACUUCGGGAAACCGGAGCUAAUACCGGAUAACAUCAUGAACCGCAUGGUUCAACAGUGGAAGACGGUCUUGCUGUCACUUAUAGAUGGAUCCGCGUCGCAUUAGCUAGUUGGUAAGGUAACGGCGUACCAAGGCAACGAUGCGUAGCCGCACUGAGAGGGGGAACGGCCGCACGGGACCUGCGACACGGUCCAGGCUCCGACGGGAGGCAGCAGUAGGGCAUCUUCCGCAAUGGGCGAAAGCCUGACGGAGCAACGCCGCGUGAGUGCAGAGGGUCGUCGGAUCGUAGAGCCCUGUUAUUGGGGAAGCACCAAUGUGUAAGUGACUAGGCUCGCUUUGACGGUACCUAGUCUGAGAGGUGCGGCUAACUUCGGC